rnacentral:lncRNA from 1 species
UUGGGUUCGCCCUUGGGAGAAGUGGGGGGCGUCACAGUUGGUAUCAGAGCCAUAUACCGACAGUUGGGACCUUAAGUCCUUCGUCUGGAAAAGCCCCGAGCCUCUCGUUCGUGUAGAGUCACGAAGCGAAACUCUCCGUAGGGGAUGCCCGCGUGCGGGUGGCAAGCUGAUAGGUACCCCGUGAUGUGACCCUGAGAACUGUCACAGUUGGUAUCAGAGCUUAGGCUUCAGAUCUUUGU